AUUGAACGCUGGCGGAAUGCUUUACACAUGUAAGUCGAACGGCAGCACGGACUUCGGUCUGGUGGCGAGUGGCGAACGGGUGAGUAAUAUAUCGGAACGUGCCCAGUCGUGGGGGAUAACGUAGUGAAAAUUACGCUAAUACCGCAUACGAUCUACGGAUGAAAGCGGGGGAUCGCAAGACCUCGCGCGAUUGGAGCGGCCGAGAACAGAGUAGGUAGUUGGUGAGGUAAAGGCUCACCAAGCCAACGAUCUGUAGCUGGUCUGAGAGGACGACCAGCCACACUGGGACUGAGACACGGCCCAGGCUCCUACGGGAGGCAGCAGUGGGGAAUUUUGGACAAUGGACGCAAGUCUGAUCCAGCCAUUCCGCGUGCAGGACGAAGGGCUUCGGGUUGUAAACUGCUUUUGUACAGAACGAAAAGGUUUCUAUUAAUACUAGGGGCUCAUGACGGUACUGUAAGAAUAAGCACCGGCUAACUACGUGCCAGCAGCCGCCGUAA
rnacentral:rRNA from 1 species